UGGGGAAUAUUGCACAAUGGGCGCAAGCCUGAUGCAGCAACGCCGCGUGAGGGAUGACGGCCUUCGGGUUGUAAACCUCUUUUAGCAGGGAAGAAGCGAAAGUGACGGUACCUGCAGAAAAAGCGCCGGCUAACUACGUGCCAGCAGCCGCGGUAAUACGUAGGGCGCAAGCGUUAUCCGGAAUUAUUGGGCGUAAAGAGCUCGUAGGCGGUUUGUCGCGUCUGCUGUGAAAUCCCGAGGCUCAACCUCGGGUCUGCAGUGGGUACGGGCAGACUAGAGUGCGGUAGGGGAGAUUGGAAUUCCUGGUGUAGCGGUGGAAUGCGCAGAUAUCAGGGGGAACACCGAUGGCGAAGGCAGAUCUCUGGGCCGUAACUGACGCUGAGGAGCGAAAGGGUGGGGAGCAAACAGGCUUAGAUACCCUGGUAGUCCACCCCGUAAACGUUGGGAACUAGUUGUGGGUCCAUUCCACGGAUUCCGUGACGCAGCUAACGCAUUAAGUUCCCCGCCUGGGGAGUACGGCCGCAAGGCU
rnacentral:rRNA from 1 species